GGGGCUGUAGCUUAGUGGUAGAGUGCUUGCCUCAAAUGUUUGAGGCACUGGGUUCGAUCCUCAGCACCA
rnacentral:tRNA from 1 species